UCUUAAGGGGAAUGUGGCUGCUACCCAAGGCACCCACAGCUGCUUGGUGAGUGUGUGUGUGUGUGUGCAUUCCAUGCGCAUGAGGAUGUCCAUCUGUCGCAUCAUUGCUCGGAACGCAACACGACUUCCUGAAUGGCAAACUGGUCGUGAUUUACGCUGACGUCACGGAUGCUCAUUCGUGGAUUGGAGCACUCAAGGAAACCUCAUCGAUUCCUGCCUUAACGGGAUUUGUCCUCCCAUUGUUUCCAUUAAGUUGAUUAUUCAACAGCCUAAUCACCCGAAGGUUCAUUGCCGAAAUUAGUUACACAGCGUUUCAACUAAGUCAGCUAAUCGGCUGAUUGGUUACGCUGACUCCAUCUGACCGUCUUGCCACGAGAGUAGGAUUAAGCAAAUACAACUGAAUUUGACAACAGGAUGUUCUAAAAAGAUUUUGACGAGACACGCCGACGUCGAUAGCUGCGAAGGUUCUGAUGGAAUUGUCCAACCAUUGCAGCACCUCUCCGGGACACGAAGGAAGUGUCAUCAUGGUGCCAACAGCAACACACCUUCGAAACCUUGGCCCAUUUGUUCAUCAUUUGGAACGACUCACCUGGCCGGCCAGUGUUAGCGGGAGGUGCGACGGGCUGCAGAGUGCCAACGAAGCCACCGAACGAGGGAGCUCCUGGAUGGGAGCUUCAUCCAGGUUGUCGAUGCGAGGCUUUUUGAUGUUGGUCUCGGGGGUGGUCAAAGGAGUCACGCUGUUCCUCCGGAUCAAGCUCCCCGGACCUCUCCUUACCUCCUGUGCAGAAUUCGACUUAAUAAUAUCCAUCGGUACAGAUAAACAGUACCCGUGUGAGGAGGUCUUACCUCGGGUCGGUCUCUGUGAGUAUUCACUGCCUCCACGUUCAAAGAGAUGGACUCGAUUUUGCAACCGUAGGCCACGGGGGUGAGCUUCAGCACAGUAUGAAGGGGACACUUCAGGAAGUAGGCCAGGAGGCAACGCAUGACAGCCUGGUGGCAGAUGACCAGCACAUUCUCCUGACGCUCCAGCUCCAUAAUGACCGGCUCCACCCUCUGGACCAGGUCCUGGUAGGACUAGAUCCAACAAAAUGGUAAGUGAAUGUCAUCUCAAGUUAAGCAUGAAGGAGUACCACAAGGGUCAAUUUCGGAACCUCGUUUAUUUCAACUGUAGUUGUAAUAUAUCCAGUAUUUUUACUAAUGGGGCCUACCUCUCCAGCGGGGUAGCGAUAGUAGUAUUUAUCUUCAUCCCUCAAGGCGAACUCCUCAGGAAACUUCUCCUUAAUCUCAUCGUACGUCAUCUCCUCACAUAAUCCCUAAAAAAAAAAAAGUCGGUAAAUAUUGAAUAUUUAUCCAGGGAGAAAAUAUAAUGUUGCGUCCCAGAGUGACACGCACUGCGUCAAUUUCAUUGAGGGCCUUCCACUGCUCGUACGGGACCCUCAGGUGCUCAGCUGUCUGGAUGCUGCUGCACAACUGGCUGGUCCAGACCUUCAGAUCUUUCAUCUGCUGCUCCUCCACGAAUCCAGCCAAGGCGCUGGAAAACUACAAAGGAGAGCGCAGAGAAAAAAAAAUCACCGCCUGAUUCCUCCAAACGUGGCCCUGAAGCUUCGGAAUAUCCCCUACCUGCUUGCCCCUCGGCGAGAGGCCAGCGUCGCCCCCGAGCCGCCCCUCCAGGUUGUCUGUGCUCUCUCCGUGUCGACACAGGUAGAUGGUGCGCGGCUGGACGUGGAUGUUCAUCAGGUAGUAGACGAUCUUGCUCUGGGUGUGAUCCUGGAUGCGGUUGACCAGGAAGCGGCGGCCCACGUCUAUCACCUUGAUGAAGGAAAGGUCCCUGCAGGGUCCAGAGGCUGGUAGCUGGCUUUGUAACAUUCAAUCCUCCUUUGGAAAUCCAACACGGCGUCCGUCUUGUUGCAGUCUUUGUAAUCUGGGCAGGAAACCUUCACUUCCUGGAAGAAGAAAAGGAACUUCGAUGUGUACUGCGCAGGAAGUGCCGGUUAACUUCUCACUCAGAAGCAGGCCUUGACGACCCGCCCGCCGAAAUAACGUCCGUUCAGAUCCACCACAGCUGCGGAAGACAGAAGGCAACAGUCAAACCAUGUCAAGAACAUUACACAAAAGCAACAGUGCAGUGCAGAUCACCUUACACCUGAACACAUCGUAUUAAUAAAGAAAAAUAAGCAGCUGUGACCUGAGCCCCAAAACGAAGAACAGAACGGCAACUGGGUGGUCCCACCUGCUCCUCCGGGAGUCUCGGGAGGAACUGGCGCCGGAGCCCCUGCUGCUCGGGCGACACCACAAAGUAGAAGCCUUCAGAAGAUGUUCAAAGUCAAGAGUAUCACUGCAUCAAAAUCCUUCUUACGUUUUUC